rnacentral:lncRNA from 12 species
GUCACACAGGGGUCACGAGGGGUCACUCAGGGUUACUCAGGGGUCAGUCCAUGGUCACUCAGGGGUCAUUCGUGGUCACUCAGGGGUCACUCAGGGGUCACUGUUGAUCACUCAGAGUCACUCAGGGUCACUCAGGGGUCACUCAUUGGUCACUCAUUGGUCACUCAGGGGUCACUCGGGGGUCACUCAUUGGUCACUCAGGGGUCACUCAGGGGUCACUCAGAGUCACUCAGGGGUCACUCAUUGGUCACUCACUGGUCACUCGGGGUCACUCGGGGUCACUCGGGGUCACUCAGGGGUCACCUCUCACCUCGGUGACGCUGGUGCCGUAUUUCAGCUCCAGCUCCUUCACGUCCAGUUUGUGAUCGUCCUGUGGGCACCAGUACAGACCAGUAUGAACCAGUACGGACCAGUAUGAACCAGUACGGACCGGCACGAACCAGUAUGGACCAGCAGAGACCAGUACAAACCAGUAUGGACCGGUAUGGAUCCCCAGUAACCUCCCAGUCCCUCCCACACGAACCAGUACAAACCAGUAUGGACCGGUAUGGAUCCCCAGUAACCUCCCAGUCCCUCCCAGUAACCCC